rnacentral:rRNA from 1 species
GCCGCGGUAAUUCCAGCUCCAAUAGCGUAUAUUAACGUUGUUGCAGUUAAAAAGCUCGUAGUUGAAGUUGGAUGAGUAUUUGAGAUGAAUUUUCGAAUUGAUUUCAAAUCCUUAUCAUUUCUAGUAGUUAUGCUUGGGUAUUCAAUUACUUGAGUAUGAUAGCUAGUCAUUUACUGUGAGAAAAUUAGAGUGUUUAAAGCAGACGUUUGUUUGAAUAGAUUAGCAUGGAAUAAUAAUGAUAUGCUUGAUUUCAUUGAUUGGUUAUGAAAGAUAGCAAGAUUAAAAGGGACAGUUGGGGGUAUUCAUAUUCAAUAGUUAGAGGUGAAAUUCUCGGAUUUAUGGAAGAUGAACAAAUGCGAAAGCAUUUACCAAGGAUGUUUUCAUUAAUCAAGAACGAAGG